CGGGCCACCCUAGAGGAGAAGGUGACGCAGCUGGAGGCCAUGCUGAAGAAGCUUCAAGAUGACCUGCAAAAGGAGAAAGAGGACAAGGCGGUGCUGCAGGCCGAGGUGCAGAGCCUCAGGCAGAACAACCAGCGGCUGCAGGAGGAGUCGCAGAGCACAGUCGCCCGCCUCAUCAAAGUCACUGAGCUGCUGUGUAACGUCAACAAGCCCUGUUAGGUCCCCCCCCCAUACCGUCCCCACCCCCCCACCUCUCGAUGCUUGAUGAUGCAAAUCCUGCAGAGCGCCUCGAUGCUCGACACCGUUCUUUGAUCAUGUAUAGAUAGGUGCAAAAAGUAAACACACACACAGGCAAGAGUGGUCCUGCCUGAUGGUGAGGAAGUAUGCAAAAGAAAAAAAAAAACAUAACUUGUAGACUGACUUGCACAGGCUGCUGUGAAGCGUGUGUGCGUGUGUGUGUGCGUGUGUGUGCGUGCCUGUGUCCCUUGCUUCAAAUACUUGACAAGCUCUGCUAAGUAGCACUUACAUAAGAGGUUUGAAUUAAGACGGCGAGACACUGUAUAGCAUGUUUUUGUGGUGUCUAAUGGAAAAUGACCAAAAGUGUACAAAGCAUAGUAAGAAGUAUCAGCAGUAAUAUAUGUGAACCGUAGUAUCGCUAUGUUUCCUGGCAUACAUGUAGUUGCAGUGUCUUUGCAGUGUGGUUUCUGCGGCGGCACUGGCGGGAGGGUUGGCCCGAAAAAUUAAAGCGCGAGAAAAAAAUAAAUAAAAAAAUGCGACCAUUGCGAGUCUGCAGGCGGCCUUCUGCUUAAAAAGAUUUAAUACUGCUCAGCGACUGGCCUCAGAGCGAGGUCCGUUAUGUAAGGACACCACCCUCAAUCUUCACUUCUCAGUAGUACUGUAUGUAAGUAAUUCUGUUUUUAGGAAUAAACAAUUUUAAAAAAAGGCAGGGGGAAGGGACUGGUAACUGAAAAAAAGUAAAAAAAACAAAAAACUUGAUUGUUUCUUCUGGGUUCAUGUUUUGAAAAAAAAAACGGCAUAGAGAGGAACUUGAAAAGGGUUGUAAUACCUCUCCUGAAGACUCACACUCUGGCAGGAACGAACUGCUUCAGCCUCCUUUCAUGACUGCCUGUAGCUGUUUAUCUUCUAACCUCACUGUUGUAGCAGCCAUAACUGUAGAAGAUCUCCUCCUGCCGGUCUGAACUGCAGCUGUUAUUCUUCAGCCGGCAAAAAUAGCUUUAGGUGGGAGAAUGAAUCACCUGGAACUGAUGGUAAAAUGCAGAAUAUUGUAUUUAAGACCUAUUUUUUUUUUUUUUUUUGAUAGACGUAACUGUUUGGAUAAUUGUUUGCUUUAGCUUAAGAGUGCCAGCGGUAGAUAGAAAUUCCUUCUUCCAUCUUAUUUAGAGAUGCACCGAAAAAGACGCACAAUCAAAGGAGUUUCAUUUUGACCCACCUUGACUGGUGGCCAGACAGUCAAAGCCUCAGAAAUCCAACAUUUUUUUUCAACCAGUGAACACAACUAAGCGCUAACAGAUCACAGGAGCAACAACACUCUUCAGUAUGGAAGUUGCAAAUGAUAUUAAAAAAAAGAAGAGAUUUUUAGUAGUCAGGGUGCAGAGGGAAGUUGUUUGACAGGAAACAAGAUUUUCAAUGGAAGCCUGCCAGCUGUUCAUUAAGACUGCUAAAGCAGAGCAACACUUUAGUUGGUUCUUGCAUUUCACACCACAACCAUUCCAUACAUUUGCAGAUUAUCUUUUAUUUUCAAACACAACUGUUUUGGGUACAAAAAUGAGCUAAUUGCCAUUGCACACGUUUGUUAUUUGUUUCAUUAUUUUGAGCUUUCAAAUGGUCUGUCGUGGAAUAAGCUGGAUUUUGAAAUGUUGGCAGCAUUUGGAAAUUUCAGGCUUCCAUCUAGGGCUAUGAUUCUCAAACUAAAAAGUUCUGGUGGCUAUCUAGGCUAUGUCCAAUUUACCUUUUGAGAACUUGGAGCUUAGAAUGACAAUAAAUUAUGUUACAGUUCCAACUUAAAAAAAAUUAUAACCAGUCCUACUACAAUAGAAAAAAUAAAUAAAAAUUAAUUUAUUCAUAAUAUCAGAGGUGCAAAUAAACGUUUUUUUGAACUGUGGUCAUCAGUAAGCCGUAGGCUAUGUGGAAGGCAGCCAUUUUGUAUUCAGACUGUCUGUUCGUUUUUCCAACAUGAAAUUCAGAAAUUUUAACCCCUAAGUGAAAAAGGACCACUUUGAUCAGCAGACUUAAACAUUGUUGCGUCAUCUUCCAGCAGUACAAUGGACCUAUCAGAAAGCAGGAAAGCAACAAUUGACGCAGCUACCAUAAGAGCUAGUAGAGCUUCCUGCAAUGCCUUACAGUAAAGUGAAAGCUUUAAUGCGAGGCCCAACCUGAUCUACAGGGCUAGUUUUACUUAACCUCUGACUUUUUGCACCUCCACUGGAUGUUGGUGUGACUCGCUCGGCUCCAUUGCUGCUCAUUACGCACAUGCGCGGUAUCGCACUUCCGAUAACAAGGUCUUGUUAUAGUGAAUAUACACAAAAGCACUUUGUUUACUAAGAAAUAGAGCCAAAACGGUGUAAAACAAAGAAAUGAAACAUAAUGAGCCAACAGGACAUGAUUAUUUAAUCGGAAAACAUUUGUAUGCAACCAGAGUGAGCUACUCCUGUAGAAAUGUAUAAAGUCACAGUACGUGACUGGGCACCUUUAAGAACCACAGCUCAA